AUUUUAGGAUCUCAGGGAACUUCACGAUGAAACUCUUUUCCAUCUUAAGGUGAGAAAUUAGAUUCACCGCCUGACCGUAUUGUCAAAGUGAGCUGGUUGCUGUGAUCUAUUUGGUGGGAAAAAUGAAGAAUUUACCAUUUGCCAGCACUCAGGGAAUGGUCCACUGUUUGCAUCAGUGGAGUUUCAGAAGGGAGUCUUUUAACAUUAUUAAACUCUUCAUGUUUUGUUGGUUAAUGGUUACGGCGUCAUCGUAUAUAUAUAUAAUUUUCUCUUUU